GAGGGGGCGAUGCCUCUCACCCCUUCCCUCCCUCGACCCAGCUCUUCCCCUCUGGGGAUCGGGGCAUCGAGGCCCCUUCCAGUUUGUUCGGGGUUGGGUUCAAGAUAGCCAAGCACAGUUUGGUGCAACUAGGAACCCCACCUCCGGUGGGAACGAUCUACCCGAAAAGAUAUCCUAAAACCUCGGGGCCUUGGCAGCCGCUUACCGGGAAGAAAUCCAUCGGGAGCUGUUGGACGACGGGGUUGUCCUCAAGAUGCUCAGCGAGACCUGGACGUAACCUCCAUGGAAACGGCUCCGCAACGAGCAGCCCGUUCAUUCGUUCUUAUUCAGUCGUGCUUACGGAGGGCUCACCGUCUGCAGAGCACUGUACUAAGCGGUUGGGAGAGUGCAAGAUGACAGCGGGCGCAUUCCCGCCCACGGCGAGCUCGCGGGCCAGAGGGGGAGACAGACGUUAAUAGAAAUAGAUUACAUAAAGGAAGAAAUCAGAUAGAUACAUGAUAUACAGAUAUAUUCAUAACACACCUUCAUACAUACGCGCCGCCCACACGUGGCGCAAGUGGAAAGAAUAAAACUUGUACAAGUGUA